rnacentral:lncRNA from 1 species
CGUCGUCCUUUAUUUGAACUUUUAGCGGCGAUAUGGUGUCGCCGCCUUUAUUCAAAAUUUAGUGGCGACAAUGUGUCGCUAUCUUUUAUUCAAACUUUUAGUGGCGACAAAAUGUCGCUAGUGGCGACAAAAUAUUGCUGUAUUUUGUUCAAACUUUUAGUGGCGACAAAAUGCCCACCGUAGUUUGUUCAAACUUUUAGUGGUGACAAAAUAUCGUCGUAUUUUAUUCAAACUUUUAGUGACGACAUAGCGUUGCCAUUAUAUGAAAACUUUUAGAGGUG